rnacentral:lncRNA from 1 species
AUAAGAAAAAGAUUUCGACUCUUUAUUAUUAGGUGUAAGGAAAAUUUUAAAAUAAUAUAUUUUGUUUAUUGUUUUUAGUGAAUGGAUGUGAUUCUUCGUGAAAGGAUGCAAUCCUUAGUGAAUGGAUGCAACUCUUAGUGAAUGGAUGCAACCCUUAGUGAGUGGAUACAACUCUAAUCAAAGGGUAUGACUCUUAGAGUGAAAGAAUGUGACUUUUAGUGAAAGAAUAUGAUAUGAAAAGACACAUCUUUAUAGUGUGUCUCUUCGUACAUAUGCCCGUUGGAAUCAAUGGUUAUAUUCAUUGAACUUGAUUCAUAUAACUAUUUGGUAGUUAUGAUCAAAUGAAAAGUCACAAUCGAAAGGUCACUUCACGAAACACCUAUUCAUGAAUAGUCACUUCACGAAACACCCUUUCGUGAAUAGUCACUUCAUGAAGCACCCGUUCGUGGCCUAUAUAAGUCCAUAGCAUUGGUUGCAGAAGGAGACAGACAGAAAACAGUUGAAGAGUUGAAGUCUUCAUUCAUAAUAAUUCCAUUCUUGUUUUAUAUUCUAUUUCUUUUGACAACUUAAUCGAGUGAGUGCUCAAAGGCUCGACUUCGUGUGUGCAAACGCAGUUGAGGUUUACGCUUCAUUGUAUCCUGGGAGGUUGUUCGUUGACCCGGUGCACACCAAAUUGUUAGAACGGUGGGGACGGAUUAAGCCUUAAGGAAAGUGGCAUUGCUACACGCCUUGAAGCCUUUUUAAUCUUUCUAUUUCAUACCUUUAUCACAAUCUGUUCCAACAAUCUUAAGGCUUAAAACCGAAAAUGUCGACUGCUACUCUACGAGAGAUGGCAACAAACUUUAUGAGACUAGAAAGAUUUGAUGGCAUGGACUUCAGACGCUGGCAGAAGAAAUUAUUUUUCCUUCUGUCGACUCUCAAAGUUGCUUAUGUCCUCACUACUCCAAGACCAGAAGAAAACGAUGAUGAACCUGUUGCACAAACUCGUACAAGACAAAAAUGGGAUGAAGAUGACAAUAUAUGCCGAGGCAAUAUUCUAAAUGCUAUGUCGGAUGCGCUUUUCGACGUCUAUCAAAAUGUGAAAACGGCUAAAGAACUGUGGGAAGGCCUUGAAGAAAAAUACAAAUCCGAGGAUGCCACAAGUAAGAAGUUUCUUGUUAGCAAAUUUAAUAACUAUAAAAUGGUUGAUAGUAGAUCUGUUCUAGAUCAAUUACAUGAAAUUCAACAUAUUCUCAAUCAAUUUACUCAACAUAAUAUGAAUAUGGAUGAAUCUAUAAUUGUGGCCUCUAUAAUCGAUAAACUUCCUCCAUCAUGGAAAGACUUUAAGAAAAGUCUUAAACAUAGAAAGGAAGAGAUUACUCUUAAAGAUUUGGCUAACCAUCUUCGCAUAGAAGAAGAAUAUCGUUUGCAAGAUAGCAAAAAGGAGCAAGAUGCUCAGAGUGCCAAAGUGUAUGUGACGGAAGAUGAGUAUAGUAAAACCCGUCAACCCACAAAAGAAAAUCGAAAGAGAGCUAAGCAUCCGAUCAACCACAACAUGACAAAUAAGAAAAAGAAAGGUGCAUGCUUUCAUUGUGGUAAACCAGGCCACUACAAGAAAGAAUGUCGGUUCCUCAAAAAGGAAAGUGCACCGGAUUCCAAAAGAAAUUUUGUGGCUAUGAUAUCCGAGGCUAAUAUACUCGAAGAUGACGGAGCUUGGUGGAUUGAUUCGGGUUCCACAAGGCAUGUGUGCAAGGAUAAAAGUUUAUUCAAAACUUAUGAUGCAUUGGAGGAUGGAAACGUUCUCUAUAUGGGCAAUUCUUCAACAGCACAAAUCAAAGGAAAGGGCAAGGUGGAACUCGAGUUCACAUCAGGAAAAACUCUCACUCUCACCGAUGUGUAUCAUGUACCUGAAGUUAGGAAGAAUCUUAUUUCAGGAAGUCUUCUUAACAAAUUUGGGUUCAAACUUGUAUUUGAGGCCGACAAAUUUAUUUUGUCGAAGGGUGGAAUCUUUGUGGGAAAAGGAUAUUUGUAUGAGGGCAUGUUCAAACUCAAUCUUAUUAAUAAAAUAAAUAUUUCAGCCUAUAUUAUUGACUCUUCUUCUUUAUGGCAUAAUCGUUUAGGACAUGUUAAUUAUAGAAAAUUACAAGAUAUGGCUAAGUUAGAGUUAAUUCCUAAUUUUGAUAAUAAAUUAGAAAAAUGUAAUACUUGCAUGCUCACUAAAAUUACUAGAAAGUCUUUUCCUAAAAUUGAUAGAUGUUCUAAUCUACUUGAGUUGGUACAUAGUGAUGUUUGUGACUUGCAUGCUUCUCCUUCUAUUGGUGGAAAGAAAUAUUUUGUUACAUUUAUUGAUGAUUUUUCUAGAUAUAGUUAUGUUUAUCUUUUGCAUUCUAAAAAUGAAGCGCUAGAUAAAUUUAGAAUUUAUAAAUCUGAAGUUGAGGUGAAAUGUGAGAAAAUGGUCAAAUGCCUAAGAACAGACAGAGGAGGAGAAUAUUAUGAUCCUUCAUUUUUUGAGUCCAUUGGUAUUAUACAUGAAACCUCUGCACCUUAUACUCCACAACAAAACGGAGUUGCAGAAAGAAAAAAUAGAACAUUAAUGGAAAUGGUCAAUGCUAUGCUUUCUAACUCUGGGUUAAGUUAUGGAUUUUGGGGCGAAGCUUUAUUAACAGCUUGCCAUCUACUAAAUAGAAUCCCAACAAAAAAGAAUGAUAAAACUCCUUAUGAAUUAUUCAAGGGAAGAAAGCCCAAUUUAAAUUAUUUAAAAGUUUGGGGUUGUAGAGCUAUUGUGAGGGUUCCAGAACCGAAAAGAAAGAAACUGGGUGAAAGAGGAAUUGAGUGCAUAUUUAUUGGGUAUGCACAACAUAGUAAAGCAUACAGAUUUUACGUGAUUGAAUCUAAUGACUUCAUUGAGAUCAACACAGUUUUUGAAUCUAAAGAUGCUAUAUUUGAUGAAAACAGAUUUGUAUCAAUUCCUAGACCCAAAGAACUUAUUGUGAGUAAAGAACACUCCAAUGAGAAAAAUGAUGUUGCAAUUGAAACCCCAGAACUUAGAAGGAGUAAAAGAGUUAGAAUUGCUAAAACAUUUGGACCAGAUUUUUAUACUUUUCUUGUUGAGGGUAGUAGAGAAAUGAUUACAGAAAGUUUCCAAUUUUGUUUAAACAUUGACUCAGACCCCACAACAUUUGAGGAGGCAAUGAAAUCUCCUGAUGUCGCUUUUUGGAAAGAAGCGAUAAAUGAUGAAAUGGACUCAAUUAUGACAAACCAAACAUGGAAAUUAGUUGAUCUUCCUCCUGGAUGUAAACCUAUUGGGUGUAAAUGGAUUUUCAAAAAGAAAAUCAAUGUAAAUGGCACCAUAGAUAAAUUCAAGGCAAGACUUGUUGCCAAAGGGUUUACACAAAAAGAAGGCAUUGAUUAUUUUGAUACCUAUGCACCUGUUGCCAGAUUAGCGACUAUUAGAACUUUGAUUGCUCUUGCUUCAAUGUAUAAUUUGAUUAUUCAUCAAAUGGAUGUCAAAACAGCAUUCUUAAAUGGAGAAUUAGAUGAAGAAGUUUAUAUGGAACAGCCCGAGGGCUUUGUUGUUCCUGGACAAGAGCACAAAGUGUGUAAACUUAUCAAGUCGUUGUAUGGGCUUAAACAAGCACCUAAACAAUGGCAUCAAAAGUUUGAUCAGAUUGUUCUUUCCAAUGGUUAUAAAAUUAAUCAAUCUGAUAAAUGUGUUUAUAGUAAAUUUUCAAAUGGUAAAGGUGUUAUUAUAUGUCUAUAUGUUGAUGACAUGUUAAUUUUUGGCACCGAUGUUCAGCAAGUAGAAAAUACUAAAAAUUUUUUAUCUUGCAAUUUUGAUAUGAAAGAUAUGGGGGAGGCUGAUAUUAUUUUGGGAAUUAAAAUUAUUCGUGAAAAUAAUGGAUUAUUUUUAACACAGUCUCAUUAUAUCGAAAAGAUUCUUAGAAAAUUUGGUUAUUUUGAUUGUACUCCAGUAUCAACUCCUUUUGAUCCUAAUCUAAAACUAGUUCGUAAUACUGGUAGAUCAAUUAAUCAGUUAGAAUAUUCUAAGAUUAUUGGAAGUUUGAUGUAUGCCAUGUCUUGUACUAGGCCUGAUAUUGCAUUUGCUGUUGGUAAAUUAAGUAGAUUUACUAGCAAUCCAGGUAAUGUACAUUGGCAUGCUAUUUACAGAAUUUUGAAAUAUUUGAAAAAGACAAUGGACUAUGGAAUUUUCUAUAGUGGAUAUCCAACAGUAUUGGAAGGCUAUACAGAUGCCAGUUGGAUAACAGAUCAAGAAGAUCAUGCAUCCACAAGUGGGUGGAUAUUUAUAUUAGGUGGAGGUGCGAUUUCUUGGGGUUCUAAGAAACAGACAUGUAUAGCGGACUCUACCAUGGCAGCAGAAUUUAUAGCACUAGCGUCUGCUAGUAAGGAGGCGGAAUGGAUAAGGAAUUUAUUAUAUGAAAUUCCAGUUUGGCCAAAACCAAUGCCGCCGGUAUCGCUACAUUGCGAUAGUGAAGCUACGCUCUCAAGAGCAUAUAGUCAAACAUACAAUGGGAAGUCAAGACAUAUUGGAUUAAGACAUAGCUAUGUAAAACAACUGAUAUCAGAUGGCAUAAUUACCAUUGAUUUUGUAAGAUCAAACCAAAAUCUUGCGGAUCCGUUGACUAAGGGACUUCCAAGAGAAUUGAUAUUCAGGACAUCGAUGGGGAUGGGUCUCAAGCCCAUAUUACAAAGUCACCAAUGAUGGAAACUCGACUUAACACUUGAAACAUCAUCAAGUCUUAAGUUCAAUGAGCCAAAGUACAUCAUAUGGAGUGAUUGCAAGCACUAUAAUAUAAAAUUUCCAUCCCAAGUAAAGUGCUUGGUAUCCGUAUUGAAAAGGGAAGGUUGAACUAAUAAAGUUCUUAAUAGACCUACAGUAGUAUUUACUGAAGUGUUAAAUACGGGACACUUCUGGUAGAGUCUACCUAUAUGAAUGUGAAGUGUGGCCGCUUCUAGGAGUUAAGGGCUUGACUCUAACAGCAUUCAUGAAACAGGAUGCGGACACAAGGCCAUAAAAGUGUCAGCAAUAAAAUAGAGCACUCGACUGAUUAUAAAUUUCUAUGUGUGAGAUAUGUCCGGUUAGUCGAAAAUAAUUGUUGGUUCAAAGCUUGUCUACCAUUCAAUUAUGACUAACUUUGAUGUGUUUUCACUAAGUGUAGGUUCAAGUUUUAAUACACCUACACCUAUGCAUACGGUUUUGUCAAGUUGUCAAGAAUUUUGAUUUUGAUUUUUGAUUUUGUUUUAUUUUGCUUUUUGAUGUAUUUUUAUGUAUUUUAAAAUUUGGUGGGGAAUUGUAAGGAAAAUUUUAAAAUAAUAUAUUUUGUUUAUUGUUUUUAGUGAAUGGAUGUGAUUCUUCGUGAAAGGAUGCAAUCCUUAGUGAAUGGAUGCAACUCUUAGUGAAUGGAUGCAACCCUUAGUGAGUGGAUGCAACUCUAAUCAAAGGGUAUGACUCUUAAAGUGAAAGGAUGUGACUUUUAGUGAAAGAAUAUGAUAUGAAAAGACACAUCUUUAUAGUGUGUCUCUUCGUACAUAUGCCCGUUGGAAUCAAUGGUUAUAUUCAUUGAACUUGAUUCAUAUAACUAUUUGGUAGUUAUGAUCAAAUGAAAAGUCACAAUCGAAAGGUCACUUCACGAAACACCUAUUCAUGAAUAGUCACUUCACGAAACACCCUUUCGUGAAUAGUCACUUCAUGAAGCACCCGUUCGUGGCCUAUAUAAGUCCAUAGCAUUGGUUGCAGAAGGAGACAGACAGAAAACAGUUGAAGAGUUGAAGUCUUCAUUCAUAAUAAUUCCAUUCUUGUUUUAUAUUCUAUUUCUUUUGACAACUUAAUCGAGUGAGUGCUCAAAGGCUCGACUUCGUGUGUGCAAACGCAGUUGAGGUUUACGCUUCAUUGUAUCCUGGGAGGUUGUUCGUUGACCCGGUGCACACCAAAUUGUUAGAACGGUGGGGACGGAUUAAGCCUUAAGGAAAGUGGCAUUGCUAUACGCCUUGAAGCCUUUUUAAUCUUUCUAUUUCAUACCUUUAUCACAAUCUGUUCAACAUUAGGUUCAAUUUUACACUAACUAAUCUAACAAAGAUUAUAUUCCAUAACCUAGUCUUCUUAUCC